GAUGAACGCUAGCGGCAGGCUUAAUACAUGCAAGUCGAGGGGCAGCACGGUUAGCAAUAACUGGUGGCGACCGGCGCACGGGUGCGUAACACGUAUACAAUCUACCUUAAACAGGGGGAUAGCCUUUCGAAAGAGAGAUUAAUACCCCGUAAUAAAUUGAACGGCAUCGUUUGAUUUUGAAAGCUCCGGCGGUUUGAGAUGAGUAUGCGUCUGAUUAGCUAGUUGGUGAGGUAACGGCUCACCAAGGCGACGAUCAGUAGGGGAUCUGAGAGGACUAACCCCCACACUGGUACUGAGACACGGACCAGACUCCUACGGGAGCAGCAGUAAGGAAUAUUGGUCAAUGGAGGCAACUCUGAACCAGCCAUGCCGCGUGCAGGAUGACGGCCCUAUGGGUUGUAAACCGCUUUUAUACAAGAGAAAACCCUGGUACGUGUACCAGGUUGAUAGUAUUGUAAGAUAAGCAUCGGCUAACUUCGUGCCAGCAGCCGCGGUAAU
rnacentral:rRNA from 1 species